ensembl:snRNA predicted gene, 24960
AUGCUUGCUUUGGCAGUACAUAUACUAAAAUUGGAACGAUACAGAGAUUAAGAUGGUCCCUGCUCAAAGAUGACAAGCGAACAUAUUUAA